CCUACGGGAGGCAGCAGUGGGGAAUAUUGCACAAUUGGGGAAACCCUGAUGCAGCGACGCCGCGUGAGCGAUGAAGUAUUUCGGUAUGUAAAGCUCUAUCAGCAGGGAAGAAAAUUACGGUACCUGACUAAGAAGCCCCGGCUAACUACGCGCCAGCAGCCGCGGUAAUACGUAGGGGGCAAGCGUGAUCCGGAUUUACUGGGUGUAAAGGGAGCGUAGACGGUCCUGCAAGCCAGUUGUGAAAGGCCGGGGCUCAACCCCAGGAGUGCAUUUGGAACUGUAAGGUUAGAGUGUCGGAGAGGCAGGCGGAAUUCGUGGUGUAGCGGUGAAAUGCGUAGAUAUUAGGAGGAACACCAGUGGCGAAGGCAGCCUGCUGGACGGUGACUGACGUUGAGGCUCGAAAGCGUGGGGAGCAAACAGGAUUAGAUACCCUUGUAGUC
rnacentral:rRNA from 1 species